CAUUGUACAUUACAUCAGACCCGAAGAGGUUAGAAUAGCGAUUUGCUUUGGCUGGAGUUCGUAACCUUGUUCGUCCUUUUCGUCGAUGUUUGAUCAUCUGAUACUUUAGCCAAGUAAAAAAACGAUAAAAACUGUAUUCCGUCUCAUUAGUGCGUCGAGCAAAACUGACAAACGUAUCAACUGUCACGACAUGUGACGAGACGGAUCUUGUUUUGUCGUGUUAGACCGAUUGAAAAUAUUGCUUCGUAUUGUUUUCUCUUGACGAAGUGGACCGUGGGAAUACAAGAGAGUGAGCGGCACAUAGUAUUUCAGGGGAACUUGUGGUAACCGGCUCUCGGUAGCUUUUCUUACCGUCAUUCAUGAUACUAUGGUACGGCAAUAGGAUGAUUGCUUGACGGCCAGUGCCUAAAGUGGAUAAAGUCUUCUAUAGUAAUUUAACUCGAGCCUGGGUACAGGGGUGCAGAGGCCUUUCGGUAAUCUCUCUUUUUAUUUUUUAACUUGCCAAUAUAAAUCAUAACGUAGAAUUGUUUUUCCGCUUGGCCCUACUUACUGCUCGCAAUUACCCAAGUUCCACGCUCGGGAAAAUUAAAUCAACGUUGCAAUCGUUUCGCGUACAACGAUCCGCUAAUUGGAUAUCCUUUUGGCGGGCUUGACGCAUUAGUGCUCCGCCAUUUGCAAUUUUUCGACAGACGCGAACAAGUGGCGAAUAGAUGCCGACGUGAAGAGCGUAAGUCUACGAAUGGCGGUAGAGCGGAAGGAGGGGUGAGAGGAGGGGUCCCACUGCCUGAUUUCGCGGUCCCGUGCGACGUCCCUGAGAUGGCAGUGGUACUAACAGAUUGACAGACGUACUCGCCGCGAACUGACCCCUUCGUAGUGAUUUAGUUAUCUCUCUAUCGACGCCUCGGCCAAGUCGUACACUUCGUUUGUAUCAAGAGGGACGGUAAAAGACAAAAAUAAAAGUGCUGCCGGAAGUGUUGUAUCAGAAGGUAGCGUGCGCUCUUCGCUGAAUGAGCUUCUGCCGGUUCGGGAUCCUUUCGGGGCGAGAUAUUAUGAUUAGGGAAAACGAGAAACAGUAAACGGAUAAUCGAUUUUAUCGUUAUUGAUCCUCGAAGAGGAAAGCCACGAAGUGAGACUUCGUGUGUUUUGUUUACAUAAUUUCCCCCGGAAGUUGUCACUGUCAACGUUAUUCAAGUUAUCAAAGGAACGUCUGCGAUCUGAUUCCUCUCUUCUUAUGUGUCACCGAGUAAUGCAUAAUAAUAACGCAUUCCUUUCUGAUUUACGAAGAUUUUCUCGGAACGAGAAAGAAGAACAUGCUUUCAAAUAACCGUACCAAAAUCUUUUUACGAAAUCUCGCUUUCGAACAAUUACAGUAUGGGAGUUGUUUACGAGAUCUUUUAUCUCUCGAUAAAAUACGCCAUCAUCUCUGUCCCAAAAUGGAGAACAAAAAUAUAUCUCUGGAUUGUUUAGAAAAAAAAAAAAAAAAUGAAAGACUUGAUUUACGUCAAUAAAUUAAUAAUAGAAAAUGAAACGGUCACAUGGUAAAUUGAUUCAAGGUUUUCAACGAUAUAGUUGACAAGGAAACAUACGUACAUAUACCGAAGACACGGAGAUCUGACACACCAACGAGUUCGUGAUUUACAAUCUGAUUUUGAAAUCCUGUUUGUAACUGGAUUCGCUAACAGGCAGAUUUAUUACGGAACGCAUACGACUGAUCUACUUAAAACUUUCUGCGUAACCGGAUGCUACGUCGAGGAAUCAGGGGUAUAAAUAUUAAUUCAUACACAUAGUUGUAUCCCGUACGAUAGAACAGACAUUGUCACUUGUUAUUCUUAUCGUAAUUUGAGUUCGUAGAAUUCUUCGCGUGAGAUACUACUCGCGCCUUGCAAAUUUUUCCCACCGCGUGUUUUGCUUCCUUCGCUCAUUUUAUUUACAAAACAGUUGAUUCCUGCUCGUAAUACGUACGAU